GUCAUUUCCAGAUCAUCCACCUGCUCCUGCCCCUCCCCCUGCGUCUCCUGCCUGUGGGCCUCCUGCUCUCACCUGUCUUCCUUCCACCUUGGUGCUUAUGACACACAACUGCUUCAGCACUUUGCUCAGAUUCUGUCAUUCAAUUCUCCUGAUAGCCCAGGAGUUAAGUCGAAUACUGCUCUUAUCUUACACUACACGUGAGGAAACUGAGGCCUGGCGAGGUUAAGGGACUAGCAAGUGGCAGAGCAUGCAUUUGACCCCAGGUGAUCUGGCUCCAUAACAGGGCUUUAAACCUCACACUGUGCAGCCUCCAGGUCUGGUGAUUUUCUGUGUGGUUCUAGGUACAGAACGAACUCUGGGCACUGUGAUACUUGGCAUCCAAAGCUGGGACACCAUGGAACCAAGAAGUACUGAUGACUAGCACCAGCCAUAUGAGAAGAGGAGCCCCUAUGGAAGCUUCAACUCAUCCAGAGUGAACAAUGUGGUCCUUUCCCCAGGGCGUUCCCAGAGUGUCUCCAGCAAUCCCACAGCUUGGGCGUGUGCAAUCCCACAGGCAGCCCAGCACUUCCAGAGCAAUUCCUGGGAUUCUCAGAGCUUCCCACAACCAGCCUCAGUUUGAGCAGCUGACCUCCGAAUGACCAGCUGCUGGACACCUGGGCUCCAGGCCAGCUCUCUGGGCAUGGUCAUCAAUGGGCCAUAGGGACCCUCUUCAGGAACACUAGCCAACGCGUGCGGGAGUCUGCCAUGGUGCAUAUCUGGGUGUGGACUUGCAUGCCAAUAUAAGGGGACAACUAUGUAUCUCACCAGGGUCCCUCUCACCAGGUUGUCAUGUGGUGUCUUCACUGUUGCCCACUAGAGUGUGCGUAGGUGCACUGUCUAAAUAUGUGCAUGUGUUAAGAAGGGCACAGAGUGUGUUAAAGUAUCUGUGUGCACACUCUGGUAGGGGUUGGGCUGAGAUAUUUGGCUGUGUUUCUGUGUGUGCCUAUGGGUAUUCUCUCUUGUGAUUCUCAACUCAGUUGCAGAUGACAGCUGCCUUCACAUUGUCCCUUCUGUUUUCAGACCCCAGCAAUGUUCUGAGGUGAUAUGGGCCCUACCUUGCAAAGACAGGCAGCUUGAUUUUGUCCCUAUAGGGUAUGAACCCUUCCAGCUCUCCCUGUCCUCCCACUGGUUUCUGCUCUCCCCUCAUGCUCUGUCCUAGCCCUGCUGACACCCCACUGGACACAUCAGAAAGGAGCUGGAAACCAUCUGGUUGAAACAUAGUUCCUGAGCUAUGAAAGCACAGUGCCCAGGAUCCCCUGGGGCCAUGGCAAGGCUGUAUCCAAGAACUUCUGUGCCCCAUACCUCCAUCUCCUGGCCUGAGCCUGUCUUCCCACCCUGGAUAGGCACAAUCCAUGGGUGAGGGUCCUUCUUUCCCUAGUCAUUCUGUCUCUGGGUGGUUCCCAGUGGAAGUAGCAUUACUCUGGGACAUGGCCAAUUGCCUCUGAAAUUUCAAUCAUAGCCUCUACAUUGCCCUACAAAGCUGGGGACACUGGGGACAAAGGGGGCCAUUAAACAUGUGUAUAUUUUCAGUUAGCUGGAGAGCAGGACACGAAGCUGCUGGUGGGCCCUCAGGAGAGGAAACGUAUUCAAAGAGGCAGAUGCUGGCCAUGGAUUCUGCAUCUUGGCAGGGACAGCAGCUCUUGGCACUUGCUCUAGAAGGCCUGACGCACUGUCUGUCCCACUGCAGCGGUUCUCCUUGCAUAUGACCUCAUGUUCCUCAGCUCCAGUGCCCAGGUCCAGGUCUCCCCAGUGUGUGGCAGCCCUCAGUGCUGCUCCUUGGCCAGGAGGGCCCAGGCAGGCCUCCAGGUGGGGAUUUUCUUAUGAUGGGGAAAAUAAUCAGAAAGCUCUAUGAUGUUGGGCAAAUUGCUUAAGCCCUUUGUGCCUGGGUUUGUUAACCUAUAAAAUGGGGAACAAUAUAUACCUCACAGGGUGUGGUAAGACUUAAACAAGUCACUCUGUCCUUAACAUAUACUGAGAGAUACAUCGGGCACUAUCUGCAAUGUAUGUAGGAAGCACUUCAUAAUUGUUUAUUAUAAGACUACCCCACAGCCCAUCUGACUUUCUCCCUGGGUCUGCUGGAAGGGGAAAGGAGAGAGACUUCUUUUGCAGGGUUUAAGAUUGGAAGCAGGCAGGGAUAAUGCCCUUUCACACUUAGAAAGGACCCCCAUUAUCCUGGCAUUACUGGGGAUACCCAGGGUACCUGGGGGAUGCAGCCCUGUGUAGGCAGGUGAGGAUAUCAGCAGGACAAAACUUCCCACCCAGGACAGGAAGCCUGCCUCGCCCUGCUCCUGUCUUCUCUGGUCUUUAUUAAAGGUCAGCAAGAGCAGAGAGACCCCCUAGAAUUUGUCUCUGUUGACAAGGCCAGCAGACAUAGGCUCUAAAAAUAAACCUUAAUAAGAUUUUAAGUAAACACUUUUUCAACAACAAUUCAGAUCACGGUUCUUUUUCUCUCCUACCGAGCAGUGUGACCUAUAGUGAAGCCCACUGCACAGAGGAGAAAAUGUCAGAGGCUUCAGAGCCCUGGAAGACUCUCAAGGCCUGCUCUGCCUGUGGCCUGCCUUGCCAGAAGGAUCUUGAAGCGAGAGCUGCAAACCCACCCCAGGGGACACGGGAACUACUAUCUCCGCCCCCACCCCCACCCCCACCAUGGACUGUCUGCACCCAGAUUCCAGCAGGCAGAGGGUGUCCUGGCUUUGUUUUCAUUUCAACAUGGCCCUCUCAUAGGCAAGGUCUGGGGGCCACCAAUCUGUCAAGUUCACUGCGGGUGCAGGAUGCUGCGCAGCGCAGUGUGGGGCUUAAGAACGACUAGAAAGGGCUCCGGGAAUGGGGUCUCUG
rnacentral:lncRNA from 1 species